rnacentral:rRNA from 1 species
UACGUAGGGUGCAGGCGUUAGUCGGAAUUACUGGGCGUAAAGCGUGCGCAGGCGGUUUCUUAAGUCAGAUGUGAAAGCCCCGGGCUUAACCUGGGAACUGCGUUUGAAACUGGGAGACUAGAGUGUGGCAGAGGGGGGUGGAAUUCCACGUGUAGCAGUGAAAUGCGUAGAUAUGUGGAGGAACACAGAUGGCGAAGGCAACCCCCUGGGUUAACACUGACGCUCAUGCACGAAAGCGUGGGGAGCAAACAGG